rnacentral:RNase_P_RNA from 1 species
GUGAGUCGGGCAGCUAACUCCGAACGGUAUCUUUCGAUAGAUGAGAAUUUUAAUGAAUUCUCCGUUUGAGGAAGGUCCGGACAUCAAUAACAAGCGACCACUUGAAAGGGUGGCUGUCGCGAGAUAGAGCUCCAGAACAGAAACGACACAGCCAACAUUGACGCUAAAAAUCUUUAGAGAUUUUGGCGCCUCGAAAACUACAAGUUUUCAAGGACUAUGAACCCUUGGGGGGAGUUAAGAUAUGUUGGAUAUGAUGAAACGGGAAAUUCGUCAGAAUUUCACGCACCAGAGCGACUUGUUCGCUAUGAGUGUGGCUGACUUCGCUGAUGCAACCACUUUAACCGUGGGCUUAGAAAGAUGUUAGCACGCACGGUUCGCACGUUAAGGUGCGACGUUCGACAGAAUCUGGCCUACGCCUGACUCAC